rnacentral:rRNA from 1 species
GAGACAGCAGCCGCCGCGGUAAUACGAGGGGGGCAAGCGUUGUUCGGAAUUAUUGGGCGUAAAGGGCGCGUAGGCGGUUUGGCAAGUUUGGUGUGAAAUCUUCGGGCUCAACUCGAAGUCUGCAUCGAAAACUGCCGGGCUUGAGUAUGGGAGAGGUGAGUGGAAUUUCCGGUGUAGCGGUGAAAUGCGUAGAUAUCGGAAGGAACACCUGUGGCGUAAGCGGCUCACUGGACCAUAACUGACGCUGAGGCGCGAAAGCUAGGGGAACAAACAGGAUUAGAUACCCCUGUAGUCCCUGUCUCUUAUAC